UACGUAGGUGGCGAGCGUUGUCCGGAUUUACUGGGCGUAAAGAGCGCGCAGGCGGUCGUGCAAGUCGCGUGUGAAAGCCCCCGGCUCAACUGGGGAGGGUCACGCGAUACUGCUCGACUUGAAGGCAGGAGAGGGAAGUGGAAUUCCCGGUGUAGUGGUGAAAUGCGUAGAGAUGUGGAGGAACACCGAUGGCGAAGGCAGCCCCCUGGGCCGACACUGACGCUCAUGCACGAAAGCGUGGGGAGCAAACAGG
rnacentral:rRNA from 1 species